rnacentral:rRNA from 1 species
UACGGGGGGGGCAAGCGUUGUUCGGAAUUACUGGGCGUAAAGGGCUCGUAGGCGGCCAAUUAAGUCGGAUGUGAAAUCCCCAGGCUCAACUUGGGAACUGCAUCCGAUACUGGAUGGCUUGAAUUCGGGAGAGGGAUGCAGAAUUCCAGGUGUAGCGGUGAAAUGCGUAGAUAUCUGGAGGAAUACCGGUGGCGAAGGCGGCAUCCUGGACCGACAUUGACGCUGAGGAGCGAAAGCUAGGGGAGCAAACGGG